CCAAACUAAGUUUCCUGGAUUUGGACUGUUAUGGAUGAUGAUAAUGAUCAUGGAUAUGGAAUGACAACUCUAAAGUGCUCCUAGUCUGGCCCAGAGGAUGGGAGGUGUUCUAGGGUGUUACAUGUUGGACAAGAAAGAAACUGCUGAGCCACCUGGAAAUGAUUCUGGACAUAUGGUGAUCGAAGACCUCAUUGAUCCACUUAACAAACAAGAUAUGAGUAACCCAAGCUUUGCUGUUGGACCUCCACAUAACGUUUAACUGGCUCUUCUGCACCUUGCAUUUCUUG
rnacentral:lncRNA from 1 species